rnacentral:rRNA from 1 species
UACGUAGGGCGCAAGCGUUGUCCGGAAUUAUUGGGCGUAAAGAGCUCGUAGGCGGUUUGUCGCGUCUGUCGUGAAAGCCCACGGCUUAACCGUGGGUCUGCGGUGGAUACGGGCAGACUAGAGGCAGGUAGGGGAGAAUGGAAUUCCCGGUGUAGCGGUGAAAUGCGCAGAUAUCGGGAGGAACACCGAUGGCGAAGGCAGAUCUCUGGGCCGUAACUGACGCUGAGGAGCGAAAGCAUGGGGAGCGAACAGG